UACGGAGGGGGCUAGCGUUGUUCGGAAUUACUGGCGUAAAGCGCACGUAGGCGGCUUUGUAAGUUAGAGGUGAAAGCCCGGGGCUCAACUCCGGAAUUGCCUUUAAGACUGCAUCGCUAGAAUUGUGGAGAGGUAAGUGGAAUUCCGAGUGUAGAGGUGAAAUUCGUAGAUAUUCGGAAGAACACCAGUGGCGAAGGCGACUUACUGGACACAUAUUGACGCUGAGGUGCGAAAGCGUGGGGAGCAAACAGG
rnacentral:rRNA from 1 species